rnacentral:snRNA from 1 species
CUCGAGCUGCUUCCGCGG